UGGGGAAUCUUGCACAAUGGGGGCAACCCUGAUGCAGCGACGCCGCGUGAGCGAUGAAGCCCUUCGGGGCGUAAAGCUCUUUCGACCGGAACGAUAAUGACGGUACCGGGAGAAGAAGCUGCGGCUAACUACGUGCCAGCAGCCGCGGUAAUACGUAGGCAGCAAGCGUUGUUCGGAGUUACUGGGCGUAAAGCGCGUGCAGGCGGAUUGGAGAGUUGGAUGUGAAAGCUCCCGGCUUAACUGGGAGAGGUCGUUCAAUACUUCCAGUCUUGAGUGCAGUAGAGGGAAGUGGAAUUCCGGGUGUAGUGGUGAAAUGCGUAGAUAUCCGGAGGAACACCAGUGGCGAAAGCGGCUUCCUGGACUGUAACUGACGCUCAGACGCGAAAGCUAGGGUAGCAAACG
rnacentral:rRNA from 1 species